rnacentral:rRNA from 1 species
ACCGCAUAACGUCGCAAGACCAAAGUGGGGGACCUUCGGGCCUCAUGCCAUCAGAUGUGCCCAGAUGGGAUUAGCUAGUAGGUGGGGUAACGGCUCACCUAGGCGACGAUCCCUAGCUGGUCUGAGAGGAUGACCAGCCACACUGGAACUGAGACACGGUCCAG